GGGGAUUUAGCUCAGUGGCAUAAGCGCCUGCCUUGCAAGCAGGCAGUCGUGAGUUUUCAAUCCCCG
rnacentral:tRNA from 1 species